rnacentral:rRNA from 1 species
GCAUGCAAGUCGUACGCACGCGCUUCGGCGCGUGAGUGGCGCACGGCUGAGUAACACGUGGGAACCCGCCCUCCGGUGGGGGAUAACGCGACGAAAGUCGCGCUAAUCCCGCAUACGUCCGCAAGGGGAAAGCGCUUCGGCGCGCCGGAGGAGGGGCCUGCGGCCCAUCAGGUGGUUGGUGGGGUAACGGCCUACCAAGCCGAUGACGGGUAGCUGGUCUGGGAGGAUGACCAGCCAGACUGGGACUGAGACACGGCCCAGACUCCUACGGGAGGCAGCAGCAAGGAAUUUUCGGCAAUGGGCGCAAGCCUGACCGAGCAACGCCGCGUGCGGGAUGACGGCCUUCGGGUUGUAAACCGCUUUUCGGGGGGACGACUACGACGGUACCCCCGGAAGAAGCCCCGGCUAACUCUGUGCCAGCAGCCGCGGUAAGACAGAGGGGGCGAGCGUUGUCCGGAGUUACUGGGCGUAAAGCGCGCGCAGGCGGUGGUCUCAGUGUCGUGUGAAAGCCCCCGGCUCAACCGGGGGAGGUCAUGGCAAACUAGACGACUGGAGCGGCGGAGAGGCCCCUCGAAUUGCCGGUGUAGCGGUGAAAUGCGUAGAGAUCGGCAGGAAGACCAAGGGGGAAGCCAGGGGGCUGGCCGCUGGCUGACGCUGAGGCGCGACAGCGUGGGGGAGCAAACCGGAUUAGAUACCCGGGUAGUCCACGCCGUAAACGAUGACCACUCGGCGUGCGGCGACUAUUGACGUCGCGGCGCGCCUAAGCUUACGCGUGAAGU